GGACAAGAAGACCUAGUGAAUGAUUUCAGAAAAAGUGCCUGUUUGCUUAGGAUGUCAGUGCACCAAGCAAAUCUGAAGCACUCCUUUCGCUGAGGAGCGUCCUGUCUGCAAUAACUUCACAGACCUGCCCCAGAGGCUUUCCUCGAAUUCCCUUGCGCCUUACCUACUGCUCCAGACUGGAAGCUGCUUGGGACUUUUUCACGUGGAUCUAAGGGGAAUGCUUUACUAUGGCUGCUGUUGUCCAACAGAACGACCUAGUGUUUGACUUUGCAAGCAACGUCAUGGAGGAUGAACAGCAGCUAUUCUGGUCCAAACUCCUCUUCAAGAUGAUUGAUUCAAACUGGCUUCGCUUGGCUUCUGACUGAAUUGCUCUGCUGGGUAAGACUGCCUCUGAACUCUGUGA
rnacentral:lncRNA from 1 species